rnacentral:rRNA from 1 species
GACGAACGCUGGCGGCGUGCUUAACACAUGCAAGUCGAACGAAGUAGCAAUACUUAGUGGCGGACGGGUGCGUAACACGUGACUAACUUGCCCCACACUGUGGAAUAACGGAGGGAAACUUCCGCUAAUACCGCAUGUUGAGCGCGGAUGGCAUCAUUUGCGCUUGAAAGAUUUAUCGGUGUGGGAUAGGGUCGCGGCCUAUUAGCUUGUUGGUGGGGUAAUGGCCUACCAAGGCGACGAUGGGUAGCUGGUCUGAGAGGAUGAUCAGCCACACUGGGACUGAGAUACGGCCCAGACUCCUACGGGAGGCAG